AUGAACGAAAGUCUUACGGGUUUGGAAUGACAUGAGGAAGUGUGGAAACAAGCCAUGAGCCGCAAAAGUGCUGUUCUCACAUGCACGUCUUCAGACAAGAAAAGAAAAAACUACAGGUCUCUACAGGUGAGGUAACUUAGACUAGCAAUUACCUUCCAGCAGAAGGCCUGAGAGGAGAGCUAUUGAUUGGACCAAGAGGUCAGAGGGGGUCGACAGCUGCAGGGGCAGCAUGGACGGGGGAAGCACAUGUGAUGGAGGAGGGGUGG